rnacentral:lncRNA from 1 species
AACUUGUGGGAUGAAAACUUGAUCUGAAAUCUAAGUUGUUAACAGAUAUGAUAUGGGAAGGUUGAGCUGCUGUUUAUCUAUUCCUAUAGAUGCUAGAUUUCUAGAGAAUUUUAUCUUUGAAAAAUCUUUAAAAUAUUGCAUGAUGAGUUCCUGUAUGAUGAAAGUUUAAAUUCCUACCACAGCCAUAUAUACAUGCUUGCUAGACUUUGAGCCACACAUUUACUAUUUACUGCUUAUGAGCAUUGAGUGUGGUCAAGCUGUGUAGACCCUUAGGAGCUUGUCAUGUGGUUAAAUCAAGGUUUCACUUGCACAUUCACUCAUAUCUACUUCUACUCCGGACGUACCACCCACAUAUAUCCACUCAUUUCCAUCUCCAGAACCACCCAAAAAUAUUCUACUCCUAAUCCAAGAGAGAAUAACCAAAAAUAUUUCUGUUUUUCCUUGUGAAAUAAAUGCUCAAGUUAUCUUGUUACUACCACUUGCUAUAUUAUCUCAUGAGAUAAGUGCUCUAAAAAAAAGAGGAGAGAAAAAAAUAUACGAGGAAAUAAAAAGGGGCAAGUGCCCGGAACCUCGAAAGAAAAGAAAAAGAGUGAGACGAGAGGUAAAAAUGGACAUGUGUCCGACAGUAGAAUUAGGGGUACAGGCUACCCACCUGAGAGGAAAGAAAAAUGAAAGAUAGAGCAUCUCAUUCUCCUCAUAAAGUUUUAAAAAGCAAGUAAGGUAUGUAUCCCCUGAAAAGAGCAAAAGUAGAAUUAGACUUCCACCAUUGUUAUCACCAUCAUCACCAUACACCAUUCAUUCGCCACACAUGCACAUCUUGAUUUGACUUAUUGACUUGUUUCUCUGGAUCCAUGGUUUGACUAUGCAAUAAAUGUCUUGUAAGUAUGUAUUAGCUGUCUCCCACCUAUGAGCUCCAGAUAUUAAAGCCUUAUUAGAGUAGGGUGAGAGAGAAGGCAAUGUCACUAUGCCUUAUACCACAAAUACCAC